rnacentral:rRNA from 1 species
CCGUGACCCCAGGUCAGGCGGGAUCACCCGCUGAGUUUAAGCAUAUCAAUAAGCGGAGGAGAAGAAACUUACAAGGAUUCCCCUAGUA